GCGCUGGUAUUGGUUAAAGCGGACCUUGAAGCAGCUGAAGGAGGGUCCCAAGCCAUGUUUGCUACAGAUCCGGAUUCAACCUCAGAUGAAGCUCCAACUGGUGAGUUUUCACACACUUUCUCUGUUUUGGAGUCAGUGUCUGUAGUAUGUCAGCCGGAUGGACUCUCACUGCAGUGUCUUGUGCUUUCAUUGACAGAAAGCAUG
rnacentral:lncRNA from 1 species